GGGCUUAACUGUCCGGGACUCGGAGUCNNNNNGGUUACUUUGAGUAAAUUAGAGUGCUUAAAGCAGGCUAGUGCUUGAAUAGAUUAGCAUGGAAUAAUAAAAUAGGACGGCAUGGUNNUAUUUUGUUGGUUUCUAGGAUCACCGUAAUGAUUAAUAGGGAUAGUUGGGGGCAUUAGUAUUCAAUUGUCAGAGGUGAAAUUCUUGGAUUUAUUGAAGACUAACUUCUGCGAAAGCAUUUGCCAAGGAUGUUUUCAUUAAUCAAGAACGAAAGUUAGGGGAUCGAAGACGAUCAGAUACCGUCGUAGUCUUAACCAUAAACUAUGCCGACUA
rnacentral:rRNA from 1 species